rnacentral:lncRNA from 1 species
AGCUCUUAGUGUCUUGAGUUUAAGUGAGGAAUAUAAAUAUCAAUUUUAUAUAGUUUUUUAUUUUAGUUUUUAUUUGUCUUUUUUAUUUUGGUUGCCUUCAAUGUUUUUCGAGGCUGCGUUGUCUCAAACUCUGUAGCUAAAUUUAUCUACUAAAUGAAUUAAACGGGUAACGUACUAUCUUUCUCUCAAAAAAAAAAAAAUCAUUAAAUCAGUAAUUUUACUACAAAUAAGCUAUUUGAUA